rnacentral:rRNA from 1 species
ACGAACGCUGGCGGCGUGCUUAACACAUGCAAGUCGAACGGUGAAGCGCCUUCCUUUUUGGUGGGUGUGGAUGAGUGGCGAACGGGUGAGUAACACGUGAGUAACCUGCCCCCUUCUUCUGGAUAACCGCAUGAAAGUGUGGCUAAUACGGGAUAUUCUGGGUCUGUCGCAUGAUGGGUCUGGGAAAGAUAUUGUUUCGGUGGGGGAUGGGCUCGCGGCCUAUCAGCUUGUUGGUGGGGUGAUGGCCUACCAAGGCGGUGACGGGUAGCCGGCCUGAGAGGGUGGACGGUCACACUGGGACUGAGACACGGCCCAGACUCCUACGGGAGGCAGCAGUGGGGAAUAUUGCACAAUGGGCGCAAGCCUGAUGCAGCGACGCCGCGUGAGGGAUGGAGGCCUUCGGGUUGUGAACCUCUUUCGCCAGUGAAGCAGGCCUGCCUCGUUUGUGGGUGGGUUGACGGUAGCUGGAUAAGAAGCGCCGGCUAACUACGUGC